rnacentral:rRNA from 1 species
UACUAAUCCUUCCGCAGUGGCACUUAUAGAAGCCUUUGCAGCCCCUCAAGGGGUAGCUCAGCGACUCUAAACAAUAGAGCACAUGCAAGUCGGCCUUCCCGGCCGGCGACACUUUCGAAUUGCGGGGAGCUCCUUAGAGCCCCACCCUACCAACCUCCGGGGGAAACCUCGGGGGGGCCCAUGUUAACGGCAUGGGGUACGGUAAUUAAGGGGUGGGGAUUGGAUGAUCCGCAGCCAAGUCCCUAAGGGUAGGUGCAUGCCUACCACGGGAAAGGUUCACAGACUAAGUGGAAGUGGGUAGGAGGCGCGAGCCGUCCUGCUUAAGAUAUAGUCGGGUCCCACGGGGAAACCUUGGGCAGUGAAGUCACUACAACCGUUCCGUAGGUGAACCUGCGGAAGGAUCAUU